rnacentral:misc_RNA from 1 species
GAUGAAGAACGUAGCGAAAUGCGAUACGUAAUGUGAAUUGCAAAUUCAGUGAAUCAUCGAGUCUUUGAACGCACAUUGCGCCCCCUGGUAUUCCGGGGGGCAUGCCUGUCCGAGCGUCAUUGCUGCCCUCAAGCACGGCUUGUGUGUUGGGCCCCGUCCUCCGAUCCCGGGGGACGGGCCCGAAAGGCAGCGGCGGCACCGCGUCCGGUCCUCGAGCGUAUGGGGCUUUGUCACCCGCUCUGUAGGCCCGGCCGGCGCUUGCCGAUCAACCCAAAUUUUUAUCCAGGUUGACCUCGGAUCAGGUAGGGAUACCCGCUGAACUUAAACAUAUCAAUAAGCGGAGGA